rnacentral:rRNA from 1 species
GACGAACGCUGGCGGCGUGCUUAACACAUGCAAGUCGAACGGAAAGGCCCUGCUUUUGUGGGGUGCUCGAGUGGCGAACGGGUGAGUAACACGUGAGUAACCUGCCCUUGACUUUGGGAUAACUUCAGGAAACUGGGGCUAAUACCGGAUAGGAGCUCCUGCUGCAGGGUGGGGGUUGGAAAGUUUCGGCGGUUGGGGAUGGACUCGCGGCUUAUCAGCUUGUUGGUGGGGUAGUGGCUUACCAAGGCUUUGACGGGUAGCCGGCCUGAGAGGGUGACCGGCCACAUUGGGACUGAGGUACGGCCCAGACUCCUACGUGAGGCAGCAGUGGGGAAUAUUGCCCAAUGGGCGGAAGCCUGAUGCAGCAACGCCGCGUGCGGGAUGACGGCCUUCGGGUUGUAAACCGCUUUCGCCUGUGACGAAGCGUGAGUGACGGUAAUGGGUAAAGAAGCACCGGCUAACUACGUG